rnacentral:tRNA from 1 species
GCCGGCUUGGUGGAAUGGUAGACACUACAGACUCAAAAUCUGCUGCGAGCGAUCGCGUCUGAGUUCAAGUCUCAGAGCCGGUA